rnacentral:rRNA from 1 species
CACCGACGGGAGGCGCAGCAGUGGGGAAUAUUGCACAAUGGGGGAAACCCUGAUGCAGCGAAACAGCGUGAGUGAAGAAGUAUCUCGGUACGUAAAGCUCUAUCAGCAGGGAAGAAAAUGACGGUACCUGACUAAGAAGCCCCGGCUAACUACGUGCCAGCAGCCGCGGUAAUACGUAGGGGGCAAGCGUUAUCCGGAUUUACUGGGUGUAAAGGGAGCGUAGACGGCAGCGCAAGUCUGGAGUGAAAUGCCGGGGCUCAACCCCGGAACUGCUUUGGAAACUGUGCAGCUAGAGUGCGGGAGAG